rnacentral:rRNA from 1 species
UACAGAGGGGGCAAGCGUUAUUCGGAAUUAUUGGGCGUAAAGGGCGCGUAGGCGGCCAUUCAAGUGACGGGUGAAAGCCCUCGGCUUAACCGAGGAACUGCCUGCCAGACUGGAUGGCUUGAGACCGGGAGAGGUGAGUGGAAUUCCCAGUGUAGCGGUGAAAUGCGUAGAUAUUGGGAGGAACACCAGUGGCGAAGGCGGCUCACUGGACCGGAACUGACGCUGAGGCGCGAAAGCGUGGGGAGCAAACAGG